UUCUAAUAUAUGCCAAUGAAAUAAGUGUUUUUACUAGAAUUUUAACACUUGAAAGGGCAUCUCUUCUGUUUCAUUCACUUGGAGACCAUUUCUAGUUACAUGCAGAUGUAAGUUAGCUCCAUAUGAUCACACGGUACAAGGCAGUAACUGCAGUAAAUCUAGGAGGGAACCAAGCUAGUAGGCAUUUCUUAGGUUUCACAGUAACAUUUAGAAGUUACUGCAAAUAAGACACCACAUAAAAAAUAGAAAAAAUAAAUAUUUCCUGCGGUUACAGAGUUUGCUCAGGUACAGAGAACCGAAACUGCCAAAAUACGGUAAGAAAGAGGUUACCAUCAUACCAGUGACCUGAUCAACUUUAACAAGCUGUUUAAUUAUCACUGCACCUGCUGAAUUCAACUUACCUACAGUGUCUGUAAAUUGUGGAUCAUUGUUAUUGUCGUGUUUGCUGACCAAUGUAAGUCUUUGAGAACCCUUAUGUACGAUCGUUUUGCUGCUUUAGUCAGCCAUUUUCUUUCAUGUGUUUUGUUGUGCUCUGUGUUUGUUUGUUUCUUGUAUUAAAGAACCAC
ensembl:lncRNA